CCCUUAGAUGUUCUGGGCCGCACGCGCGCUACACUGAUUCAUGCAACAAGUUUUGUCCUUGGCUGAUAGGCCUGGGUAAUCUUUGAACGUGAAUCGUGAUGGGGAUAGAUGAUUGCAAUUAUUCAUCUUCAACGAGGAAUUCCUAGUAAACGCAAGUCAUCAGCUUGCAUUGAUUACGUCCCUGCCCUUUGUACACACCGUCCGUCGCACCUACCGAUUGAAUGGUCCGGUGAAAUCUUCGGAUCUGAGAGAUGUCUGAUUAAUUUCGGACGCCUUUUGGAAAAGUUGUUUAAACCUUACCAUUUAGAGGAAGGUGAAGUCGUAACA
rnacentral:rRNA from 1 species